UACGUAGGGUGCAAGCGUUAUCCGGAAUUAUUGGGCGUAAAGAGCUCGUAGGCGGUUUGUCACGUCUGCUGUGAAAACUGGAGGCUCAACCUCCAGCCUGCAGUGGGUACGGGCAGACUAGAGUGCGGUAGGGGAGAUUGGAAUUCCUGGUGUAGCGGUGAAAUGCGCAGAUAUCAGGAGGAACACCGAUGGCGAAGGCAGGUCUCUGGGCAUUAACUGACGCUGAGGAGCGAAAGCAUGGGGAGCGAACAGG
rnacentral:rRNA from 1 species